rnacentral:misc_RNA from 1 species
AAGUCGUAACAAGGUAUCCGUAGGUGAACCUGCGGAUGGAUCAUUAGAGGAUUUGGAAUGGAUGUGGGUGGUUUAUUAAUAAGUUUGAGUGGUGUUGGUUGGGAUGCUUGCAGGCCAGCCAACGCCCACGUUAAACUCUAUAAAUACUUUCCAAAUACACAAAACAAAACAACUUUUAGCAACGGAUCUCUUGGCUCUC